AAUACAUAAAGAAAUCGCAGCGCAAAUAUUCGUGACCCGGAAAAGUUUGCGCUUGAAUGUUGGCUACACUUCGGCUGUCAAUCACAACACUUCCGGGGAAAAAGUCGUGCAAAGUGGUGGAGGAAGCCGCAGCAAUUUUCGCGUGCAUCAAAACGCUGAAGAUUUCGCUCCACCACUGAGCAACGAGAAUCCGGUGCGGCUAGCACUCGAAAGUGCGGAAAAAAGGGGCCGAAUUAAACGGCUUGGAGGAAGCUCGUGGACACGUGAUUCCUGGCGGUGUUAAAGAAGCCGGCAAUUAUACGCCCACUGCCGGAAAACACACCCAGAAAGCGGGUAAUCAGAGGCCAGUUUGCCAAAGCACCAGCAAAGCCAGAGGAAAGGGGUCAAACAUCUUUUCCAUCCGCAUGAUUGCGAGGAGAGCAUCUGCUUUCCUUUGGCGAUUUGGAUAAAAAUUGGCAUUCUGGCAGCUCAGGAAAAACCUUUCUCCAGGACGGCAUCCCAUAAUUUGCAUAUGAAAACAUCCAGCUGGGAACGGCCUGAAUCGUGCCGUCGUUACGGACAACAUCCACUUUCUGCUGGAGGACAAGGCUGCUGUGGUAGGUAGUAGUUCCAGUCCAUAUGUUUAGUUAGCCUUUUGUGUAAUGUUUAGGGUUCAAAUAAAUUUAUCAUGAUGAAUAUUUUUGUUAUUAUUUACUAAGUGUACCGAAAGUCCUUAAAUUAAAUAAAGUACAAUCUAUCGACCAACCGAUUCCAUCAUCGCCAAUACGCGAUCUCAAAUGACAUUAAGUUUAAAUACUAAUUAUUACAGUGGCAAUGAACUAUUGCUGGAAUGGUCGAGAGGCUGGUAAGUUUCAUGGCAACCAAGAGAGCAGCGGUUCAAUUCUCGUAAGGGUAAGUAGCUUUUGUAAUAAAAAAAAAGUUAAUUAAAAUUGAAAUCAAUGAGAUAGACCAUGAUAGACCGGCAAUCUAGCAAUCUGUCAUCUGGCUGUCAGAGCAAUCUGACAACUGGAUUUUUUUUUC